rnacentral:rRNA from 1 species
GACGAACGCUGGCGGCGUGCUUAACACAUGCAAGUCGAACGGAAAGGCCCUGCUUUUGUGGGGUGCUCGAGUGGCGAACGGGUGAGUAACACGUGUGUAACCUGCCCUUGACUUUGGGAUAACUUCAGGAAACUGGGGAUAAUACCGGAUAGGAGCUCCUGCUGCAUGGUGGGGGUUGGAAAGUUUCGGCGGUUGGGGAUGGACUCGCGGCUUAUGAGCUUGUUGGUGGGGUAGUGGCUUACCAAGGCUUGGACGGGUAGCCGGCCUGAGAGGGUGACCGCCCACAGGGGGAGUGAGACACGCCCCAGACUCCUGGGGGGGGCAGCAGGGGAGAAUUUUGCACAGUGGGCGGAAGUGUGAUGGAGAAACGCCGUGUGGGGGAUGGCGGUCUUCGGGGUGUAAUCCUCUUUCGCCUGGGACGAAGUUUUAGUGACGGUAAUAGGUAAGGAAGAACCGGCUAACUACGUG